AACGAACGCUGGCGGCGUGGAUGAGGCAUGCAAGUCGAACGCUCUUUGUCGUGUAGCAAUAUAUGGCAAAGGGAGUGGCGCAAGGGUGAGGAAUACGUGGGUAAUCUGCCUCCUAGAUGGGCACAACCUGGCGAAAGCCGGACUAAUUCCCAAUGUGGUAGUCGCGCGCAUGCGCGACGAUCUGAAGCCGGGGACCGCAAGGCCUGGCGCUAGGAGAUGAGCUCACGCCCUAUCAGCUUGUUGGUGAGGUAACGGCUCACCAAGGCUUACGGGUAGCUGGUCUGAGAGGACGAUCAGCCACACUGGGACUGAGACACUGCCCAGACUCCUA
rnacentral:rRNA from 1 species